UACGUAGGGGGGCAAGCGUUUGUCCGGAUUUAUUGGGCGUAAAGAGCGUGUAGGCGGCUUGGUAGGUCCGCUGUGAAAACUCGAGGCUCAACCUCGAGACGCCGGUGGAAACCAUCAGGCUAGAGUCCGGAAGAGGAGAGUGGAAUUCCUGGUGUAGCGGUGAAAUGCGCAGAUAUCAGGAAGAACACCCGUGGCUAAGGCGGCUCUCUAGUACGGUACUGACGCUGAGACGCGAAAGCGUGGGGAGCGAACAGG
rnacentral:rRNA from 1 species